GUAUUACACAUUUCUGAGGAUUUAGAGUGGAGAAAACUAAUCUAUAUAGACAACCCCAAAUUUUUUAGAUAAAAAUUUAGUUAAGUUGAGUUGAGUUUUAACUAACCAGAGGAAUAUAAUGACAAUAUAUUACAUCGUAAUUUUGAUUAUAUCACACAAUUAAUUAUAUUAAAUUACAUUAUACUCUACUAAACAUGAACUAAAUCCAUUAGAUAUAACUAAAAAUGCAUUAAAAUCAUAAUAUUAAAA
rnacentral:misc_RNA from 1 species